rnacentral:rRNA from 1 species
GGUCAAGUGAAUAAGUGCAUGUGGUGGAUGCCUUGGCGAUUACAGGCGAUGAAGGACGUUGUAGCCUGCGAUAAGCUGCGGGGAGCUGGCAAACAAGCUUUGAUCCGCAGAUUUCCGAAUGGGGAAACCCACUCCGCAAGGAGUAUCCCACGCUGAAUAUAUAGGCGUGUGGAGGCGAACGCAGCGAACUGAAACAUCUAAGUAGCUGCAGGAACAGAAAUCAACCGAGAUUCCGAAAGUAGCGGCGAGCGAAAUCGGAGCAGCCUGUACGUGAUAUUUGACGAGUUAGCUGAACGGUCUGGAAAGUCCGGUCAUAGCGGGUGAUAGCCCCGUAGGCGAAAACUUGUUGAUGGUACUAAGCGUACGAAAAGUAGGGCGGGGCACGUGAAACCUUGUCUGAACAUGGGGGGACCAUCCUCCAAGGCUAAAUACUCGUAAUCGACCGAUAGUGAACUAGUACCGUGAGGGAAAGGCGAAAAGAACCCCGGGAGGGGAGUGAAAUAGAUCCUGAAACCGCAUGCAUACAAACAGUCGGAGCCCGCAAGGGUGACGGCGUACCUUUUGUAUAAUGGGUCAGCGACUUACGUUUAGUGGCGAGCUUAACCGUGUAGGGAAGGCGCAGGGAAACCGAGUCCGAAUAGGGCGAAUCAGUCGCUAGGCGUAGACCCGAAACCGGGUGAUCUACUCAUGGCCAGGAUGAAGGUGAGGUAACACUUACUGGAGGUCCGAACCGACUAAUGUUGCAAAAUUAGCGGAUGAGCUGUGGGUAGGGGUGAAAGGCUAAACAAACCCGGAGAUAGCUGGUUCUCCCCGAAAACUAUUUAGGUAGUGCGUCGUGUAUUGCUCCAGGGGGUAGAGCACUGUAAUGGUAGGGAGGGUCAUCGCGACUUAUCUCGCCAUAGCAAACUCCGAAUACCUGGAAGUAUGAGCACGGCAGACAGUCCUCGGGUGCUAACGUCCGAGGUCGAGAGGGAAACAACCCAGACCGCCAGCUAAGGUCCCUAAUAUUCGCUAAGUGGGAAACGAAGUGGGAAGGCUAAAACAGUCAGGAGGUUGGCUUAGAAGCAGCCAUCCUUUAAAGAAAGCGUAAUAGCUCACUGAUCGAGUCGUCCUGCGCGGAAGAUGUAACGGGGCUAAGCGAGUAACCGAAGCUGCGGAUGCACACUUUGUGUGCGUGGUAGGGGAGCGUUCUGUAGGUCUGUGAAGGUGAGUCGUGAGGCUUGCUGGAGAUAUCAGAAGUGCGAAUGCUGACAUGAGUAGCGUUAAACAGAGUGAAAAGCUCUGUCGCCGUAAGCGCAAGGUUUCCUACGCAACGUUCAUCGGCGUAGGGUGAGUCGGCCCCUAAGGCGAGGGCGAAAGCCGUAGUCGAUGGGAAGCAGGUUAAUAUUCCUGCACCGCUGUUAAAUGCGAUGGGGGGACGGAUCGUGGAAGGUUGUCCGGGUGUUGGAAGUCCCGGUUCUUGACUUGUAGGUGUCUGGUAGGCAAAUCCGCCAGGCGUAUGCCAAGGGGUUGAGACGAGUGAGCUUGCUCGCGAAGCAAUUGGAAGUGGUCCCAGGAAAAUCCUCUAAGCUUCAGUUUAACAGGACCGUACCGCAAACCGACACUGGUGCGCGAGAUGAGUAUUCUCAGGCGCUUGAGAGAACUCGGGAGAAGGAACUCGGCAAAUUGACACCGUAACUUCGGAAGAAGGUGUGCCUUGGUAGCUUGAAGGAGAACAUCCUAAGGGCGAAGAGGUUGCAAAAAAUCGGUGGCUGCGACUGUUUACCAAAAACACAGCACUCUGCAAACACGAAAGUGGACGUAUAGGGUGUGACGCCUGCCCGGUGCCGGAAGGUUAAUUGAUGGGGUGCAAGCUCUUGAUCGAAGCCCCGGUAAACGGCGGCCGUAACUAUA